UACGUAGGUGGCGAGCGUUGUCCGGAAUUACUGGGUGUAAAGGGUGCGUAGGCGGGCUGUAAAGUCAGAUGUGAAACUCCGGGGCUCAACUCCGGAACUGCAUUUGAAACUUACGGUCUUGAGUGAAGUAGAGGUAAGCGGAAUUCCCAGUGUAGCGGUGAAAUGCGUAGAUAUUGGGAGGAACACCAGUGGCGAAGGCGGCUUACUGGGCUUUAACUGACGCUGAGGCACGAAAGCAUGGGGAGCAAAC
rnacentral:rRNA from 1 species